UGCAAGUCGAACGGUAACGACACUAGCUUGCUAGUGGGCGACGAGUGGCGGACGGGUGAGUAACGCGUAGGAAUCUACCUAGUAGUGGGGGAUAGCCAAGGGAAACUUUGGGUAAUACCGCAUACGAUCUAAGGAUGAAAGGGGGCCUCUCUUUGAAGCUCUCGCUAUUAGAUGAGCCUGCGUAAGAUUAGCUUGUUGGUGAGGUAAUGGCUCACCAAGGCGACGAUCUUUAGCUGGUCUGAGAGGAUGAUCAGUCACACUGGAACUGAGACACGGUCCAGACUCCUACGGGAGGCAGCAGUCGGGAAUAUUGGACAAUGGGGGAAACCCUGAUCCAGCCAUGCCGCGUGUGUGAAGAAGGCCCUAGGGUUGUAAAGCACUUUUAGUAGUGAGGAAGGCUCAGUAGUUAAUACCUGCUGGGAUUGACGUUAGCUACAGAAAAAGCACCGGCUAAUUUCGUGCCAGCAGCCGCGGUAAUACGAAAGGUGCAAGCGUUAAUCGGAAUUACUGGGCGUAAAGCGCGCGUAGGCGGCUUGGUAAGUUGGAUGUGAAAGCCCCGGGCUCAACCUGGGAACUGCAUCCAAAACUGCCUAGCUAGAGUAUGGUAGAGGAUGGCGGAAUUUCCUGUGUAGCGGUGAAAUGCGUAGAUAUAGGAAGGAACAUCAGUGGCGAAGGCGGCCAUCUGGACCAAUACUGACGCUGAGGUGCGAAAGCGUGGGGAGCAAACAGGAUUAGAUACCCUGGUAGUCCACGCCGUAAACGAUGAGAACUAGCCGUUGGACAUCUUGCAUGUUUAGUGGCGCAGCUAACGCGAUAAGUUCUCCGCCUGGGGAGUACGG
rnacentral:rRNA from 1 species